AACGAACGCUGGCGGCAGGCCUAACACAUGCAAGUCGAGCGAACCCUUCGGGGUUAGCGGCGGACGGGUGAGUAACGCGUGGGAACAUGCCCUUUGCUACGGAAUAGCCCCGGGAAACUGGGAGUAAUACCGUAUGUGCCCUUCGGGGGAAAGAUUUAGCGGCAAAGGAUUAGCCCGCGUUGGAUUAGGUAGUUGGUGGGGUAAUGGCCUACCAAGCCUACGAUCCAUAGCUGGUUUGAGAGGAUGAUCAGCCACACUGGGACUGAGACACGGCCCAGACUCCUACGGGAGGCAGCAGUGGGGAAUCUUAGACAAUGGGGGAAACCCUGAUCUAGCCAUGCCGCGUGAUCGAUGAAGGCCUUAGGGUUGUAAAGAUCUUUCAGUGGGGAAGAUAAUGACUGUACCCACAGAAGAAGCCCCGGCUAACUCCGUGCCAGCCGCCGCUGUAAGAC
rnacentral:rRNA from 1 species